CCUACGGGAGGCAGCAGUGGGGAAUAUUGGGCAAUGGAGGCAACUCUGACCCAGCAACGCCGCGUGAAUGAUGAAGGUCUUCGGAUUGUAAAGUUCUGUGAUGGGGGAUGAACACAAUGACGGUACCCCAAUAGCAAGCCACGGCUAACUACGUGCCAGCAGCCGCGGUAAUACGUAGGUGGCAAGCGUUAUCCGGAAUGACUGGUGGGAAGGGGUGCGUAGGUGGUUUAGUAAGUUGGCGGUGUAAUUCCGGGGCUCAACCUCGGCGCUACCGCCAAAACUAUUAGACUAGAGUGCAGGAGGGGUAAGUGGAAUUCCUAGUGUAGCGGUGGAAGGCGUAGAUAUUAGGAGGAACAUCAGGGGCGAAGGCGACUUACUGGACUGUAACUGACACUGAGGCACGAAAGCGUGGGGAGCAAACAGGAUUAGAUACCCUAGGAGUC
rnacentral:rRNA from 1 species